rnacentral:sRNA from 1 species
GGCGAGUCUGUGUCCUCCCUGUCCCUCCGAGCAGAGAGCCUCCCCGUAUCUGGACCGGGGAGGAGCAGACGCUGGACAGGUUUCUGGGAGAAUGCUGGCAAUUCCCAGGAAGAUACGUGGAGAACGGAAAGGUUGCUACACCCAAAUAGUGGAGCAAAGCUAUGAUUAUGGAGGAUUGGACCUGCAAACUCCAGAACAGAGCAACCUUGUAAAAUGUGUGUGGGCAGCACAGAGACCUUGGGCAAGUUAACAGUUUCCUCAUCUAAAUAGUGAUUUAUGGAAAGCACCUGGUGCGUGUUCUGCCCUCUGAGGACCCUGCCCUUUCCCAAAAGGGAUAUCUUGAGAAGGAAAGUAUGGCUGCUCUUUGCUGGACAGCAGAGUCCCAGAACUGGACCUGAGGCAGCUAGGAAUAGGAUGCAUGUUUCUGACCCUGGCCAGGAUCAGAAAGAAGGAAACCUCUCCUGAGGGUCUUCAGCAGUGGAAGAGGGCAGUCAGGACAGGGACAGUGAGGAAACGUUACAUCAGUAGAAAGGGCUACUUAUGCGUAUUCUAUGCA